rnacentral:rRNA from 1 species
UACGAAGGGGGCUAGCGUUGCUCGGAAUUACUGGGCGUAAAGGGAGCGUAGGCGGAUGUUUAAGUCAGAGGUGAAAGCCCAGGGCUCAACCUUGGAACUGCCUUUGAUACUGGGCAUCUUGAGUAUGGGAGAGGUGAGUGGAACUCCGAGUGUAGAGGUGAAAUUCGUAGAUAUUCGGAAGAACACCAGUGGCGAAGGCGACUCACUGGCCCAUUACUGACGCUGAGGCUCGAAAGCGUGGGGAGCAAACAG